UGCUUUGGUAAUUUAGUUUAUGAUGACUUUUAUACUCAUAAAGCUAGAUUACCAAAGCA
rnacentral:pre_miRNA from 1 species